rnacentral:sRNA from 1 species
CAGGAUCGGAAGGAUGGGAUAUCAUUUCAUGUCCGUUAGUCUGAGGAUGGUGGAUGGCGGAUGGUGGGUAGGCGCUGGUUUUAACAAUGGUAAGAUACGAUGCUUUUUGUUGCCCACUAGUUUUUGGGGGGGUGUUUGGGGAGGAUGCGCCCUUUGCAGCAGAGAAGGGCAAUGUAAGUAAGUGUUAGACCGCGAACAGUGCAGUGCCAGUGGAAGGCCCGCUAGGAGGAGGCCAUCGGCCAUCGUUUGUCCAUGGAACGACGGGGAGCAAACACAGGCUGUUUCAAAGGGUCACGGCGUGAACGAUUGGCU